rnacentral:rRNA from 1 species
UGACGUGGACGCUUGCCUUGAAGAUUAAGCCAUGCAAGUCUGUGAAUGAUCUUUGAAACAGUGUACGGCUCAGUAUAACACUUCUAUCUACCCAUAGUAUUUUAAUAACCAUGGUAAACUAUGGCUAAUUAUAUGGAUGAGGAAGUGACCUAUCAGCUUGACGGUACGGUAAGUGCGUACCGAGGCUAUAACGGGUAACGGGGAAUAUGGGUUUUAUUCCGGAGAGGGAGCCUGAGAGAUGGCUGCCACGUCCAAGGACGGCAGCAGGCGCGAAACUUACCCAAUGAACAUUGAGGUAGUUACGAGGCGUAAUUUAUGUAGUAUGUAUAAAUGACAUACUGAAGUACUGGAGGGCAAGUCUGGUGCCAGCAGCCGCGGUAAUACCAGCUCCAGUAGCGUCUGUGUUUAUUGCUGCGGUUAAAACGUGCGUAGUCUGCUAGUGUGUUAAUUGAAUUUGAUAGGUAAUGUAAUAGUAUGUGAAUUUAUUUGUAUAUUAUUAUAUUAUUAACUCAAAUUCAUCCUUGUAUAACAUACAGCCUGGAGUAAAUAUAUAUCUUCAAGAUGUAUUUCUUUCCAGGAACAGAUAGCUUGAGACAGGGAAUGGGUAAUGUUAUUUGGUAGCGAGAGGUGAAAAUUGAUGACCUACCAAGGAGCAACAGAAGCGAAAGCGAUUACCAAGAACUGAUCUGACGAUCAAGCACGUGAGCAGGAGUAUCGAAGAGGAUUAGAGACCCACGUAGUUCCUUGCAGUCAACGAUGCCAACAUAGUGGUGAUAGUAAUCAUUGCUUAAGCGAAAGCUAGUUUAUGGGCUCCGGGGAUAGUACGGACGCAAGUUUGAAACUUGAAGAAAUUGACGGAAGGACACCACAAGGAGUGGAGUGUGCGGGUUAAUUUGACUCAACGCGGGAAAACUUACCCGGGCAGGCGAUUAUCUUGAGAAGGUAAUAAACCUGAUGAUAUCGCGCGUGGUGCAUGGCCGUUCUUAACACGUGGAGUGAUCUGUCUGGUCAAAUCUGAUAACGCGUGAGAGGUGAGUGGGCUUUAUUUAUAGCCUAGACGAUGUCUGUAAAGACAAGGAAGAGACACCCAAUAACAGGUCUGUGAUGCCCGUAGAUGUUCGGGGCUCCACGCGCACUACAAUGGAGAGUAGUAGUAUUAGGAAUGUUGUAUUUCUUCGUAGUUGGGAUUGACAUAUGUAAUUAUGUCAUGAACGUGGAAUUCCUAGUAGUUGGUAGUCACUAACGACUAACGAAUGAGUCCCUGUUCUUUGUACACACCGCCCGUCGUUAUCUAAGAUGGAAGUGCGGGUGAAGAUGUGAGUGUGUCAACGUGAGCGUAAACUUACAACACUUAGUGUUGUGAGUAGCGAAUGUUAUUACGAUGCAUAAGCAUAAGAACCCGUGCAGCUAGAUUGGAUGU